UACGGAGGGGACUAGCGUUGUUCGGAAUUACUGGGCGUAAAGCGCACGUAGGCGGAUUUGUAAGUCAGGGGUGAAAUCCCGGGGCUCAACCUCGGAACUGCCUUUGAUACUGCAAAUCUCGAGUCCGGAAGAGGUGAGUGGAAUCCCUAGUGUAGAGGUGAAAUUCGUAGAUAUUAGGAAGAACACCAGUGGCGAAGGCGGCUCACUGGUCCGGUACUGACGCUGAGGCGCGAAAGCUAGGGGAGCAAACGGG
rnacentral:rRNA from 1 species